rnacentral:misc_RNA from 1 species
UCUCCGUUGGUGAACCAGCGGAGGGAUCAUUAUCGAGUUUAUAACUCCCAAACCCUAUGUGAACUUACCACUUGUUGCUUCGGCGCGCGCUUCGGCGUCGCCGAGGACACUUAAACUCUUUGUUUUUAUAAGCAUUUCUGAGUGGCCGAAAGGCAAAAUACAAAUGAAUCAAAACUUUCAACAACGGAUCUCUUGGUUCUG